rnacentral:rRNA from 1 species
UACGGAGGGUGCGAGCGUUGUCCGGAAUCAUUGGGCGUAAAGGGCGCGUAGGUGGCCCGGUCAGUCAGUGGUGAAAGCGCGGGGCUCAACUCCGCGUCGGCCAUUGAUACUGCUGGGCUGGAGCACUGUAGAGGCAGGCGGAAUUCCGGGUGUAGCGGUGGAAUGCGUAGAGAUCCGGAAGAACACCGGUGGCGAAGGCGGCCUGCUGGGCAGUUGCUGACACUGAGGCGCGACAGCGUGGGGAGCAAUCAGG